GAUGAACGCUGGCGGCGUGCCUAAUACAUGCAAGUCGAGCGAACAGAUAAUGAUCUUGCUCCUUUGACGUUAGCGGCGGACGGGUGUGUAACACGUGUAUAACCUACCUAUAUUACUGGUAUAACUCCGGGAAACCGGGGCUUAUGCCAUAUAACAUUUAGAACCGCAUUGUUCUAAGGUGAAAGAUGGUUUUUCUAUCACUUCUAGCUGGACCGGCGCCGUAUUAGCUGGUUGGUAAGUUAACGGCUUACCAAGGCAACGAUACGUAGACGAGCUGAGAGGGUGGUCGGCGACCCUGGAGCUGGACCGCGGUCAAGGCGCCUAAGAGAGGCAGCAGUAGGGAAUGGGAGGCAAUGGGCGAGAGCCUGACAGAGCAAGGCGGAGUCAGAGGUGGAGGUCUUCGGUUCGUAAAGACCGGUUAUUGGGUAAGAACAAAUGUGGAAUUAAAUGUGGAGGUAUUGACGGUAACUAAUAAAGAAGCAACGGCUAACUACGUG
rnacentral:rRNA from 1 species